ACUUUGGGAGGCCGAGGCGGGCGGAUCACGAGGUCAGGAGAUCGAGACCAUCCUGGCUAACACGGUGAAACCCCGUCUCUACUAAAAAUACAAAAAAUUAGCCGGGCGCGGUGGCGGGCGCCUGUGGUCCCAGCUACUCGGGAGGCUGAGGCAGGAGAAUGGCGUGAACCCGGGAAGCGGAGCUUGCAGUGAGCCGAGAUUGCGC
rnacentral:lncRNA from 1 species